rnacentral:rRNA from 1 species
GCAGCAGCCACGGUAAUACGAAGGGUGCAAGCGUUAAUCGGAAUUACUGGGCGUAAAGCGCGCGUAGGUGGUUUGGUAAGAUGGAUGUGAAAUCCCCGGGCUCAACCUGGGAACUGCAUCCAUAACUGCCUGACUAGAGUACGGUAGAGGGUGGUGGAAUUUCCUGUGUAGCGGUGAAAUGCGUAGAUAUAGGAAGGAACACCAGUGGCGAAGGCGACCACCUGGACUGAUACUGACACUGAGGUGCGAAAGCGUGGGGAGCAAACAGGAUUAGAUACCCCGGUAGUCCCUGUCUCUUAUAC